GCAUCACUAUCGACCGAACUCCGCUCAGAAUCGUUUCUUUUUUAAGCGAUGGUUUAUCGUUGCUUUCAAUACAUUAAAUUGCCCGUAACGGCGACUGCACCUGUCCCCGGUUAUCUUCGGUCGUCUUAAUUUAUUGCCAAUGAUUAUGCCCGCAAAUAUUAUUGCUAUUUGUUGUUCGUUUAGCGUGUUUAACAUAUUGACCGUGUCGGUUAUCGCCUUUAUAAACAAAACCAAACCGUCGUACAACGCGACGUGACCUAACGCACGGGCAUCGCUCAGGAACGCGUUCACAAUCAUAAC